GGAGGUGUAGUUUAGUAUUGGGUUCAUUGGAAGCGAUGUGGAGACAUUGUGGGCGGCUCCUGCAGUUCUUUUUGUGCCAAACAUAUUAGAGCAAAUGUAUUCAUGCAAAUACAAAAGGGGAAUCUGUCAAAACCUGUGCAGAGGAACAAUGGAGCAGUUGCCCGUAGCAACCAUUCAGAUUCCAGCUUUCAUUUUUCACAAGUCUUUUAAAGAGGAAACGAACCUGGUUGCCAUGGGCAACUGCUCCAGUAACACGACUUGGUUUUAAUGUCACGGACCCUAUGCAGCCCCAGUCAGCCCAUUUACUACUUACCUCUACUCUCUCCUCUCUAAGAUGUAUUCGGCCGGCUAGCUGUUCUCGAGCAAUCACAUCUGGAUACUGAUUUUGGUGAAAAGUUUCCUCUAGAGCCUGUAACUGGUCUUCUGUGAAUAUUGUACGGUGGCGGCGAGUCCUACGUUGAAUGACUGGCAUACUAUUGAUUGCUUGAACCCCAUUAUGGAUUAGUUUUCCUCCAUCUUCAGGAACUGUGUGGACUAUUUGUAUAGGCCAGUGUAACGGAGAGU